UACAGAGGGUGCGAGCGUUAAUCGGAGUUACUGGGCGUAAAGGGCGCGUAGGCGGUGAGAUGAGUGUGAUGUGAAAGCCCCGGGCUUAACCUGGGAAGUGCAUCGCAAACUAUCUGACUGGAGUAUAUGAGAGGGUGGCGGAAUUUCCGGUGUAGCGGUGAAAUGCGUAGAGAUCGGAAGGAACGUCGAUGGCGAAGGCAGCCACCUGGCAUAAUACUGACGCUGAUGCGCGAAAGCGUGGGGAGCGAACAGG
rnacentral:rRNA from 1 species